rnacentral:miRNA from 1 species
UGACUAUCUCAUCAACUUACAG